AGAGUUUGAUCCUGGCUCAGAAUGAACGCUGGCGGCGUGGAUUAGGCAUGCAAGUCGAACGAGAAUGCGAUCUUCGGAUCGCUAGUACAGUGGCGAACGGGUGAGUAACGCGUGGGAAACCUGCCCUCGAGUGGGGAAUAACAACUCUAACGGGUUGCUAAUACCGCAUAACAUUGCGGGCCGCAUGGUCUGCAAUCAAAGGUGGCCUCUACUUGUAAGCUGUCGCUUGAGGAUGGUCCCGCGUCCCAUUAGCUAGUUGGUAGGGUAACGGCCUACCAAGGCGACGAUGGGUAGCCGGCCUGAGAGGGUGGUCGGCCACACUGGAACUGAGACACGGUCCAGACUCCUACGGGAGGCAGCAGUCGAGAGGCUUCGGCAAUGGGGGAAACCCUGACCGAGCGACGCCGCGUGGGUGAUGAAGUCCUUCGGGAUGUAAAACCCUGUCAUACGGGAUGAAAAACUGAUCGGUUAACAGCCUUUCAGUUUGACAGUACUGUAAGAGGAAGCUCCGGCUAACUCCGUGCCAGCAGCCGCGGUAAUACGGGGGGAGCGAGCGUUAUUCGGAUUUACUGGGCGUAAAGGGUUCGUAGGCGGUCAAGUAAGUCAGGGGUGAAAUCUAACGGCUUAACCGUUAAACUGCCCUUGAAACCGCUUGACUUGAGGACAUGAGAGGAAAGCGGAAUUCUUGGUGUAGCGGUGAAAUGCGUGGAUAUCAAGAGGAACACCGGUGGCGAAGGCGGCUUUCUGGCAUGUUACUGACGCUGAGGAACGAAAGUCAGGGGAGCGAACGGGAUUAGAUACCCCGGUAGUCCUGACUGUAAACGAUGGGCACUAGGUGUGGGAGGUAUCGACCCCUUCCGUGCCGCAGCUAACGCAUUAAGUGCCCCGCCUGGGGAGUACGGCCGCAAGGUUGAAACUCAAAGGAAUUGACGG
rnacentral:rRNA from 1 species